rnacentral:rRNA from 1 species
AUGCUUUGCCAUUUUCUUUGCAGCACGAUAUCAAGUGAUCUAAGUGGCGCUCCGUUUGGCAAUGUAGUUUCAUAUAGUGAUGGAGUACCAGGUGAGAGCCAUGGAAUUCCCUACUUUUAUCUGACUACUCUGGAUCCCACUGCAAGAGAUGCGUUGGAGGAUGAAAGGACGUCCUUUACCCUUAGUGAGUUCCCUCUUGGCACUUGUGGGAAGGUUGAUCCUGAAAACCCAACAUGUGCAAAACUUACUCUUACUGGAAAGUUGAAGGUGGUUGACCAUAAGUCACCUGAAGCGGAUUUGGCCAAAACUGCACUUUUCAGCAAACACCCUGAAAUGGAGGGUUGGCCAAAGAACCAUCACUUUGAGAUCUUUAAACUGGAAAUCGAAAACAUAUUUUUGAUCGACUGGUUUGGGGGUCCUAAACCUAUAUCCCCUUCACAGUAUCUUGAUUAUGGAAGGGACCAGGGCUCAGUGAUGUCCUUGUAA